rnacentral:rRNA from 1 species
AUUAGGCGUAAAGCGUCUUUAGGCGGUUUUUUGUCAGUUAGUAACUAAAAUUCAGAACGUAAUUCUGGAAUGUUUACUAAGACGGUUUUUCUAGAGUUUAAUCGGGGUCAGUAGUAUCUCUUCAAGAGGGUUAAAAUUCAUAGAAAGAAGAGAGAGGGCCACGGGUGCAGGCAACUAACUAUAUUAAACUGACGCCAAAGGACUAAAGCGUAGGGAGCGAUCGGGAUUAGAAACCCCGGUAGUCUACGCCUUGACUGAUGAAAGUGAAACGUCAGAUAACUCUGCAUAUUAAAGCUAACGCGUUGAACUUUCCGCCUGAGGAGUACGACCGCAAGGUUGAAACUCAAAGGAAUUGACGGGGGUCUUUUAAAAACGGUGGAACAUGUGGUUUAAUCUGAUAAUCCGCGUAAAACCUUACCAGUUUUUACCAGGUGUUGCAUGGCUGUCGUCAGCCCGCGUCGUGAGGCGUGUCUCGAAAGAGCGUAACGGGCAGAACCCUUACUUGUAGUUGCAAGGAUUGUUUCGAAAGGGACAGAUCCGCACUUUACAGGAAUUUUUGCGCUCUAACAGGGAUGCCUAAGGCUGAACCGAACCCA